rnacentral:siRNA from 1 species
UUGAAAGUGACUACAUCGGGGU